GGGGGCGAAAGGUCUCGACGGGGUUGGAGGGGGCGGGGACAGCGUGCCGAGGUCCCCGGCGGCCUCGUAAAAAAGCCGGGAAACUACAACUGCCGACUACGGCUACGCUCUGGCUGCUUAAUUGAAGCAGCCCGUCCGCCCCGCCGCUCCCGCUCGGCGGGACGCGGGCGUCGGAAAGGCGGGAUAGCCCUGGGCUCCUUCGCCUGCGGGGGACAGGGCGAAGACCGAGCGGGCUGGCGUACGGAGACCCUGCCCGUCGGGGCUCCGGACGCGAGAUGAAACGACGGGCUAAGCACGUAGAAGUCCUCGUCGCCACGAUCCCGGACGCGGGUUCGAUUCCCGCCGCCUCCACCA
rnacentral:tmRNA from 1 species